rnacentral:rRNA from 1 species
GACAGAGGGGGCAAGCGUUGUCCGGAAUCAUUGGGCGUAAAGAGCGUGUAGGCGGCCCGGUAAGUCCGCUGUGAAAGUCGGGGGCUCAACCCUCGAAUGCCGGUGGAUACUGUCGGGCUAGAGUGCGGAAGAGGCGAGUGGAAUUCCUGGUGUAGCGGUGAAAUGCGCAGAUAUCAGGAGGAACACCGGUGGCGAAGGCGGGUCUCUGGGCAGUAACUGACGCUGGAGGAGCGAAAGCGUGGGGAGCGAACAGG